GGAAUUUCCUCUUGAUGCUCUCCUUAGAAUCAAUGACUCUUCAAGAUCAGAUUCAACAAAUUUGCGACUAAAGUUUUUUCUCAUCUUAUUGAUUCAUUUCUUAGCGUAAUUCCGUUUCGAUUAAAUUAUUAUUUCGUCGCGAUAUGAGUGUUGAGUGUACAAAAAAGGUAAAGAAAGUAGGUACAAGACAAGAUAAUAAGUAUAUUCGAUAAUGUCAUAUAUUUUAUAUCAUUCGAAAUUGAAUUUUGAUAUACGUUACUGACAAAAUGGGUAGUAUUGAAGGUUCAAUACGUAAAUAUUUAACGCAGUAACGUAUUAUCUGAAGAACAGAAGAUAAUCAUUUAUUUCUCAGUAGAAAGGAUCAGAUGAUUUGGAUUUAACAAAUUUGCCCCCAGAAUUGACGAUAGGAUGGUACACUGCAGCUAUCAGCACUUAUUUGAGCUGAACGCAAUUCCUGAUCUGACGAGACAACAGAUGUUGUAAGAGAAACCUUUGACCUGGACGUCCGGAUUUCUCAAUUUCGGAAAAAAUUUUCUUAUACUCGGUUAUCGAGUGAAGUGUAGUGAGUGUAGUGUAGUGCUUAUUUUCCUGGGACUUCGCUGCCAGCAUUUAUGGAAUGACGGAAGGGUCUUAGAGCACAGUCUUGUCCUUUAAGGACGGGGCUGCUAAGGGAUCUCCUGGAAGUCUUUCCCAACUUUAGCCAUCGAUGGACCAAGAGCGUAAAAGCAAGAUAUAAACGUCAAUGUGAGUCGUUUUCAAUUUUCCCCUGGUGUGGAUUAUAAUCGUGAUGAAUAUAGCGGGAAAACAAUACGUUUCUGAUGCAACUUAACGUUCAUUAAAUACGGGAGAAAUUGCUUUCGGAGUUGGUCAUAAUUUUUAGGCUUCUAGGGAAAUUUGCCACAAAAGGCCAUCUCAACUUCUAAGAUUUUUUUAGUGCUUUCCUCAAAAGUGAUGACCCUUCGAGAACAUAUUCUCCAUAUUUGGAUAUUCUCGUGUCAUUGACUUCCUUCUGUAGUGAUUCAAUUACUUCGUCAAGAUAUGAUUGCAUAUCGUAGUCAAGUUUGGGAACCACUGUUGUAUCCUCUCCGACACCUACUGAUAAAAAUCUCAAUGGAACAGGGCAGAUAUAUCCCUGCUCAAUUUCCAAAUCAGAUAUGGGUAGUUUAUUGCAUUUAUUAUCAUUGAGCGCAGCUGACAAUAGUGGUACAGUUCUCAUGAAAUUAGACAUUAUCUGUAACAAGAUCGGCAAAUCACCUCGAUUAACGGCUGUGAAAUGAAAAGGGUUAACUUGUUAAUCGUUUCGCUAGUGAUAAAAUUAUAGACGAGCGUCUGAAAUUCCGGUUGUAUAGUCCAAAUAUAUUAAAAAUCCGUCUACUGUGAGUUAAUGACAGAAACGCACGUUCUAUUACCGUUUUUAUAACUUUAGAGUUUUCGAUGAUCUGAUUGAUAACGAAUUUGAUGAAUAUUGGUUAGGUUAGGUUAUCAUUUGCGUUCAAAAACUGCUAAGACAUGAAAUUUUUUUAUGUAUACAGAGUAGAAUUCGGCUGCGCGAGUAGAAUCUGUUAG